UUACCGAUGAGGGUCCUAAGGUAGCGGAAUACCUUGGCCGUUAAAUGCGGUCUUGCAUGAAUGAUUUAACGAUACAACAGCUGUCUCAAUGAUUGGCUCAGUGAAAUUGGAAUAACUGUGCAGAUACAGUUUACCUCUAGUUAGACGAGAAGACCCUAUGCAGCUUUACUGUUUGUAGUUAUUGGAUACAAUGGAACAAGUUGUAGCGUAUAAGGUAGUUGAUAAGAUACAAUUGAAACACCUUUACUUAGUUUAUUGUAUAAGC
rfam:Albugo candida, Ac Nc2, WGS project CAIX01000000 data, contig: AcNc2_CONTIG_2860_length_265